UUUUCUAGGAGCUCCAUAUUGUUGGUGUGUCUGAGUGUAUGACAGAGCUCCACAGCAAUAAUACUCCCAGUAACGUGUCUGAGUGUAUAACAGAGCUCCACAGCAAUAAUACUCCCAGUAAUGUGUCUGAGUGUAUAACAGAGCCCCACAGCAAUAAUACUCCCAGUAAUGUGUCUGAGUGUAUAACAGAGCUCCACAGCAAUAAUACUCCCAGUAAUGUGUCUGAG
rnacentral:lncRNA from 1 species